UGUCCUGGUAUUGUUGAACUGCCAAAGACCUAAAGCACAUCAUCACUCCGUAUAUGCCUGCCCAACAUAUGCUAACAUCUACAGACGACUUCCUCCACUUACUACAUG